CAGUAGCCACGGGAAUACGAAGGGUGCAAGCGUUACUCGGAAUUACUGGGCGUAAAGCGUGCGUAGGUGGUGGUUUAAGUCCGUUGUGAAAGCCCUGGGCUCAACCUGGGAAUUGCAGUGGAUACUGGAUCACUAGAGUGUGGUAGAGGAUAGUGGAAUUUCCGGUGUAGCAGUGAAAUGCGUAGAGAUCGGAAGGAACAUCUGUGGCGAAGGCGACUAUCUGGGCCAACACUGACACUGAGGCACGAAAGCGUGGGGAGCAAACAGGAUUAGAUACCCCUGUAGUCCCUGUCUCUUAUAC
rnacentral:rRNA from 1 species